rnacentral:rRNA from 1 species
ACGCUCGACACCUACGGGAGGAGCAGUGGGGAAUAUUGCACAAUGGGGGGAACCCUGAUGCAGCGACGCCGCGUGAGUGAAGAAGUACUUCGGUAUGUAAAGCUCUAUCAGCAGGGAAGAAAAUGACGGUACCUGACUAAGAAGCCCCGGCUAACUACGUGCCUGCAGCCGCGGUAAUCUGAGCGGGCUGGCAAGGC